rnacentral:rRNA from 1 species
GACGAACGCUGGCGGCGUGCUUAACACAUGCAAGUCGAACGGAAAGGCCCUGCUUUUGUGGGGUGCUCGUGUGGCGAACGGGUGAGUAACACGUGAGUAACCUGCCCUUGACUUUGUGAUAACUUCAGGAAACUGGGGCUAAUACCGGAUAGGAUCUCCUGCUGCAUGUUGGGGGUUGGUAAGUUUCGGCGGUUGUGGAUCGACUCGCAGGUUAUCAGCUUGUUUGUGGGGUAGUGGCUUACCAAGGGUUUGACGGGUAGCCGGCCUGAGAGGGUGACCGGCGACAUUGGGACUGAGAUAAGGACCAGAAUCCUACGGGAGGCAGCAGUGGGGAAUAUUGCACAAUGGGAGGAAGCGUGAUGCAGCAACGCGGCGUGCGGGAUGACGGCCUUCGGGUUGUAAACCGAUUUCGCAUGUAACGAAGAGUGAGUGACGGUAAUGGGUAAAGAAGCACCGGCUAACUACGUG